rnacentral:rRNA from 1 species
ACAUGCUUACAACAUAGCAUUAAUGCACAAAAUCCCAUUAGAACUCCACAAUUAAGUGUUCUCGUGCUAGAGUAGUACUGGGAUGGGUGACCUCCUGGGAAGUCCUAUUGUUUUACAUGCC